UGAUAAACAUUUAGAUUUCAUAUAAAUACUCGCUGAACCGGCCUUAACACAAUAACAAAUUCGAGUGAUAGUGACUAACAAGUCGACUCGAGCAGUCCCAGUGAAUUUAAUAAAUUAAUUUUCAUCUGAAAAUAUUACUAAUCAACAUGCAGCGCAACCCAGCUUUCUCUUCCGCCAUGAACAACGGUUACCCAAGCUACUGCAUCGCUCCCAGCCCCUGCGUUGGACCACCAAGAAACCAGUUCUACCCCAACGGACCGGCACCACAGGCCUUCCAGCCUAACACCUGCUUCAUGACCGCCUCCGUGAUCAGAAAAAUGAGCAAUAACACCCCCCCAAAGGGGUACGGCCGCAAUUUCUAAGCAAACGAAAGCCUCAAGCAAUUUUCUAGGAAUCUCGAUUAGUUUGUAAACCCGUUUCGGCUACUGUUUACUGCUAGAUUAGGUUAAUUAAUCUCAGUUAAUUUAUUUUGUAAGCUUUAUUAAUUUAAGCGUACUGACUUAUUUAUUACAAUUUAAAUUAAUGUAUCAUAAGCAUAUUGUCAUCAAGCACAUUUGAAUCACAAUUUUCAUCGCACUCGUCAUUUAAGCCGUUUUAUACAUAAAAACAGGUUUUCAAUAAAAUAUUUAAAUCCUAUA